rnacentral:tRNA from 1 species
GGAGAUGUGGCUCAGUGGUUAAGAGCACUGACAGCUCUCCCAGAGGACCUGGGUUCAAUUCCCAGCACCCACA